rnacentral:miRNA from 1 species
GGCGUAAAGGGAGCGUACGCGGAU